rnacentral:rRNA from 1 species
ACCCGUUGAUCCCACGGGAGGUUGCUGCUAUCAGGAUUCGAUUUAGCCAUGCAAGUCAAGGAGUCUCUUCGGAGAUACCGGCAGACUGCUCAGUAACACGUCGAUAACCUACCCUUUGGAAGGGGAUAAUCUUGGGAAACUGAGUGUAAUACCCUAUAGGAGAUUCUAACUGGAAUGUUUUUUCUCUGAAAGAUUUAUCACCAAAGGAUGGGUCGGCGGUCAAUUAGGUUGUUGGCGGUGUAAUGGACCACCAAGCCUACGAUUGGUAGGGGCCUUGAGAGAGGUAGCCCCGAGAAGGACACUGAGAAACAGGUCCUAGCCCUACGGGGUGCAGCAGGCGCGAAACCUCUACACUGUACGAAAGUGCGAUAGGGGAAUCCUGAGUGCUCAAGCAUUGCUUGGGCUUUUGCCAAAUGUAAAUAAUUUGGCGAAUAAGUGGUGGGCAAGACUGGUGCCAGCCGCCGCGGUAACACCAGCGCCACGAGUGGCAACCGUUUUUAUUGGGCCUAAAGCGUACGUAGCCGGUUUGAUAAAUUUUCUGUGAAAUUGUAUAGCUCAACUAAACACCGAGCAGAAGAAACUGUCAGACUAGGGACCGGGAGGAGUCAGAGGUAUUCAAUGGGGAGCGGUAAAAUGCUAUAAUCCAUUGAAGACCACCUGUGGCGAAGGCGUCUGACUAGAACGGAUCCGACGGUGAGGGACGAAAGCUAGGGGAGCAAACCGGAUUAGAUACCCGAGUAGUCCUAGCAGUAACUUUGCGAGCUGGGUGUUGCAUAUUCUUCGUGAAUAUGCAGUGUCGUAGCGAAGGCGUUAAGCUCGCCGCCUGGGGAGUACGGUCGCAAGGCUGAAACUUAAAGGAAUUGGCGGGGGAGCACCACAAGGGGUGCGGCGUGCGGUUUAAUCUAAUUCAACGCAGAAAAUUUCACCAGAGGCGACGGCAGGAUGAAGGUCAGUCUAAAGGGCUUACCUGACGAGCCGAGAGGUAGUGCAUGGCCGCCGUCAGCUCGUGCCGUGAGGUGUCCUGUUAAGUCAGGUAACGAGCGAGACCUACGUCCAUAAUUGCUAACAGGCUUUGUGACUGAGCACAUUAUGGGGACUGCCCGGGAAACUGGGAGGAAGGUGUAGGCUACGGUAGGUCUGUAUGCUCCGAAUCCUCUGGGCUACACGCGCGCAACAACGGUAGGGACAAUGGGAUGCAACCCCGAAAGGGGAAGCCAAUCCUCUAAACCCUAUCUAAGUCCAGAUCGUGGAUUGUAACUCAUCCACGUGACGAUGGAAUCCCUAGUAAUCGGGUCUCAUUACAGCCCGGUGAAUAAGUCCCUGCUCCUUGCACACACCGCCCGUCAAACCACUCGAGCAGAGUUUAGGUGAGGUUUAGUCUUUUUGAUUAGAUCAAAUCUAAGCUCAGUGAGAUGGGUUAAGUCGUCACAAGGUA